CUUGAAAUUGUAUUCAGGAACAGAGGUGCUUUUAUUCGUGGUGUGUCAUUUGUUCCGCUGCAAAUUGCUUGUACCAGACCUAGACGUUUCUACUGAAUUUGAACUGGCUGUUGUCAUCCCAUCUGCGAGAAGUGUGUCAGUGUACUAUUAGAGUACAGUAGACUAUUGUGCAUUGGAAGGAUGCGUCUCCUAAUUCGAUCGUUAGAAUAUUUGCUGUGUUUGUGAUUGGUUCACAAUCAUGCCACAUUCAUCCUGCAAAACGACACACUCCCUUUGCUUGUCAACAAUCGGACUUAGUAUGCCCAAUUCUGCAGCACACGGUGAUGUCUGUGAAAUUAUUGACUUCUGAGCCGGAAGUAGA